rnacentral:rRNA from 1 species
AGUGAACGCUGGCGGCAGGCCUAACACAUGCAAGUCGAGCGGCAGCGCGUCCGACCACCCUCGGGUGGUCGGAUGGCGGCGAGCGGCGGACGGGUGAGGAAUGCAUCGGAAUCUGCCUCGUUGUGGGGGAUAACGUAGGGAAACUUACGCUAAUACCGCAUACGACCUACGGGUGAAAGUGGGGGACCUUCGGGCCUCACGCGAUGAGAUGAGCCGAUGCCGGAUUAGCUAGUUGGCGGGGUAAAGGCCCACCAAGGCGACGAUCCGUAGCUGGUCUGAGAGGAUGAUCAGCCACACUGGAACUGAGACACGGUCCAGACUCCUACGGGAGGCAGCAGUGGGGAAUUUUGGACAAUGGGCGAAAGCCUGAUCCAGCCAUGCCGCGUGAGUGAAGAAGGCCUCGGUUGUAAG